CUCGUUGGAGGUUUUCCGGGGACCCUUUCCAACCUGGCUGUCUCAAAGGGAACCAGAUUAUGCAAGGCUUUGUGUUCCAGCUUAGGCUAAACCAAGAACAACUUUAUCCUAAGGUCAAGAGGAAAUAUUUGAUAGGUUCUAAAGAAGGGAGGAGGAAACUGAGACCCAGGCAGAAGAAUUUGUUCUUCAAACUGCGAAAGCAGAGCUACCCCAAUUCAUCCACACACAUAGUAUUUCAGAGAAAAAAAGAAAACCCUAUGAUGGCAAGCAGUCAUAAGGAUGAAUGAGUGGCUUGAUCUCGGCUCAUUGCAACCUUCGCCUCCUGGGUUCAAGCAAUUCUACCUGCCUAGCCUCCCGAGUAGCUGGGAUUACAGGCACCCUGCAUCACAACGGCAUCACGCAUUCGAAUUUAGUAUUUUAGAGUGAUCUUAAUAGGGACUGCUUGUGAUUUGAGAAACAGAUGAGCUAGCUUCACAAGGUCAGGUGGUCCUGCCCGCCUGGUAACUCAACAAAUUUGAUUAACAUGAAAAUGAACUCGGUCUGGACAAAGGGCAAACUCGGAAAAUGUCAGGUGAUAGGAAAACCCAGAACUGCCACCUAAUUUGGCAGCUGUUCUGAGAUUAUGAUUUCUGGAUUGGGCGACAUCUUAAAUAAACCAGAAAUCUCAUUUAGUAUGAAAACCCAACUCUUGCCUUGGUCUUCAGUGUCCUUUGUUUUGCACCUAAGUCAGAAAAUGAAUGAGGAUUAAAACCCUUCAAAGUAUACGAAGAGCAGAGACCAUUUUCUCCUGGUGCAUUUUUUAAAGAGGAUAAGACACAUUAAGGGUGAUUUAUAUUCUGUCAGCUUUAUUUGAGAGGAAUGGUAUUCAACAUUUCAACCCAUUUUUACUAAAUUUCUGAAGAGAAAUAUUUUCUUCCUCCUUAACAUGCUGAACUAAUCUUGGUUUAAAAUCUUAUAAUGAUGCCUCAGAUAUCUGAUGGAAUUUUAGACUAAGUUAAACAAACAAAGGAAGGAACCAUUUCUUAAACAGGAUUAUAUACAGUGAUGUGACCGGAUGUAUUAUUCUACUAUUUUAAAUUUUACUUAAUGCUUCUGAUAUGCCACAUAAUUUUUUUUUGCUACCCAUGCAGUCUUGAAUUGCAAAAUAAAAGAGAUCUCAUAGAAUCCGUGAGGCGAAAGUCACAGCUGUAGACAUUUCUCUCAAUUACAAAAGCACCUUUUUUUCAAACUGUUCUCAAUCUCUGGAUUUUUCCAG
rnacentral:lncRNA from 10 species